rnacentral:rRNA from 1 species
UUGACCUCGGAAUCAGGGUAGGGAAUACCCGCCUGAACUUAAGCAUUA